rnacentral:lncRNA from 1 species
AGCAAGAAUCAGCAAAUGGCUGAUGAGGGAGUGAAAUUGCUAGGACACUGGCCAAGCCCUUUUGCUCUAAGGGUUCAUUGGGCUCUGAAACUUAAAAGGGGUUGAUUAUGAUUACCAAGAAGAAGAUCUCCCGAACAAAAGUCCUUUGCUCCUGCAGUAUAAUCCAGUUCAUAAAAAGAUUCCAGUUCUGGUUCAUAAUGGGAAACCUAUUGCAGAAUCAUUAGUCAUACUUGAAUACAUCGACGAGACUUGGAAGCAUAAUCCCCUCCUCCCUGAAGAUCCUUAUGAAAGAGCCAAAGCGUUUCUGGGCAAAAUUUAUUGAUGAUAAGGUAGGUAAUAACUGAUGUUCAGAUAUGAAAAAAUCGAUUCCUGUCACUAAUUUAUCAUCUUGCAGCAAAUCACUCACUGGAUUACUCAUGCUCUUUCCUUCUUUCUAGUGUGUGCCAGGAAUCUUUGGUACUUUCUCUAAGGUCGGAGAGGAGCAGCAGCAGAUAGCAAAAGAAGCUCGCGAGAACUUGAAACUUCUGGAGGGCGAGCUAGACAAGAAAAGCUUUUUUGGAGAUGCGAGGAUAGGCUUCAUUGAUGUUGCAUCUGCUUGGAUAAUUUUUGGGCUCAGAUUGUUGAGGAGAUUGUUGAUAUCAAACUUAUUGAUGCAGAGGAAAUACCUUCACUCGUUGCAUGGUUUGAAAAUGUCCUCGAAGCUGCUCCUGUUCUGAAAGAGUAUACACCAACCAAAGACAAAUUGUUAGAACAUAAUAAAGGAUUUUACAAGAUGUUGGUUGCUUCAGCGUCACCUUGAAAUCUAAAAUUUGUCCCCAUGGUGGAAGAUGUUACUACAUAUGAUUAUAUGAUAUGUAAUCUUUUAGAUGAGUUUGUAGGACAUGUAAGAUUUUGCUUAUCAAAUAUAAUUUUGUAGGGAAAUAAGGGCAUAAGCAUCUAUGAUAAUGAUAUCAUAGUCCUUUUCUUUAAAUUGUCAGGGAGCUUUGCACCUUGAUAAGGCCAAGUCGCUGAUUAUCAACACGGCACUCAGCAUUUGAGUUCCUUAUAAGAUACUAGUUCCUUCAACUUUUGGCUGAGUAAAAUCAAAUUCCAUUUUAGUUUGAGGGGAGGUGGAUGAAUGGCUGUGAAGUA